GCUGGGAUAGCUCAGUUGGUUAGAGCAUGGUGUUGGUAACGUGAAGGUUGCAGGUUCGAUCCCUGUAUGGGACAGCU
rnacentral:tRNA from 1 species